rnacentral:rRNA from 1 species
GUGGGGAAUCUUCCGCAAUGGACGAAAGUCUGACGGAGCAACGCCGCGUGAACGAUGACGGCCUUCGGGUUGUAAAGUUCUGUUAUACGGGACGAAUGGUACGACGGUCAAUACCCGUCGUAAGUGACGGUACCGUAAGAGAAAGCCACGGCUAACUACGUGCCAGCAGCCGCGGUAAUACGUAGGUGGCAAGCGUUGUCCGGAAUUAUUGGGCGUAAAGGGCGCGCAGGCGGCGUCGUAAGUCGGUCUUAAAAGUGCGGGGCUUAACCCCGUGAGGGGACCGAAACUGCGAUGCUAGAGUAUCGGAGAGGAAAGCGGAAUUCCUAGUGUAGCGGUGAAAUGCGUAGAUAUUAGGAGGAACACCAGUGGCGAAAGCGGCUUUCUGGACGACAACUGACGCUGAGGCGCGAAAGCCAGGGGAGCAAACGGGAUUAGAAACCCGUGUAGUAC